rnacentral:rRNA from 1 species
CAAAUUUCUGGCCCUAUCAACUUUCGAUGGUAGAGUAGUGGUCUACCAUGGUUUCAACGGGUAACGGGGAAUUAGGGUUCUAUUCCGGAGAAGGGAGCCUGAGAAACGGCUACCACAUCCAAGGAAGGCAGCAGGCGCGCAAAUUACCCAAUCCCGACACGGGGAGGUAGUGACAAUAAAUACUGAUACAGGGCUCUUUUGGGUCUUGUAAUUGGAAUGAGUACAAUUUAAAUCCCUUAACGAGGAACAAUUGGAGGGCAAGUCUGGUGCCAGCAGCCGGGUAAUUCCAGCUCCAAUAGCGUAUAUUAAAGGUUGUUGCAGUUAAAAAGCUCGUAGUUGAACCUUGGGCCUUGGCUGGCGGGUUCCGCCUCACCGGUUUGGCAACUGGUCCGGCCGGGCCUUUCCUUCUGGGGAGCCGCAUGCCCUUUCACUGGGUGUUGUCGGGGGAAACCAGGGACUUUUACUUUGAAAAAAUUAGAGUGUUCAAAGCAGGCCUAUGCUCGAAUACA